rnacentral:tRNA from 1 species
GGGAAUGUGGCUUAGUGGUAGAGUACUUGCCUGGCAUUCAUGAAGCUCUGGGUUCAAUUCCUCAGUACCA